rnacentral:sRNA from 1 species
GAGGAUGAGAACCUCCGGGGGCAGGAGGUUCGACUCGAGCGAAGCGAGAGAACGUUGCGUCAGCAACGGCCCGCAGGGCGAGCCACGAAGUGGUGAGUCAUCCUC